UAUGGCCAUUGAGCCGAAAUGAUAUUUUUGUUAAGUGAAUUGUGCAUAAAAGUUUUGUUGUGAAAAUGAAACAAAGAUGUGUAUGAAUGUUCGAAUGAUAUCCGGGCUAAGCCCGAAGGCAAUUGUGCGAGCUAUGAUAUCCGGGCUAAGCCCGAAGGCAAUUGUGCGAGCUAUGAUACUCGAGCUAAGCCCGAAGGCAAUUGUGCGAGUUGUGAUAUCCGGGUUAAGUCCCGAAGGCAUUUGUGCGGGUUACCAUAACCGGGCUAUGUCCCGAAGGUGUUUUGAACGAGUAGCUAUAUCCGGAUAAACUCCGAAGAUUUUGCUCGUUAGCGAUCGGAUUCGGGAUCAUAGAAGUUGAAGUCAACCACACUAUCAAAGCCCUUUUUGGUACUCCUUUAGUUGAGUUCGGAUAUGGCAUGUAUAGGACUACCCUCGGUUAUUUUUAAGUACUUGUGAUGCAUAUGUGUACGGCCAUGCGAAAAUGGUUCGUAAUAGUGGAGUAUGGAAUUAGACCAUUUGUGGUUUGUAAUUAUAUAUGGUUUCAUGAUGUGAUUAUGGAUUGGAAUGGGAGUGUUGGUCACAUGAUCAGCCAUUGGAAUGGCUAAA